AGUUGAUUAGCUUAUAAAGGGUAUGAUUUGAAAUCAUAAGAUAGAAAAGAAAACUUUAUUAACUU
rnacentral:tRNA from 1 species